GACGAACGCUAGCGGCGUGCCUAAUACAUGCAAGUAGGACGCAGUUGCGAACGGGUGAGUAACGCGUGGGUAACUACCUGUUAGAGGGUGAUAAAUAUUGGAACCGAUAGCUCAUACCGCAUACUAGUAGAUGGACCUUCGUUGUAUUAGGUAGUAGGUAGGGUAAAGGCCUACCGAGGCAACGAUACAUAGCCGAGCUGAGAGGGUGAACGGCCAAAAUGGGACUGAGACAAGGCCCAGACUCCUACGGGAGGCAGUAGUAGGGAAUCUUCGGCAAUGGGGGGAACCCUGACCGAGCAACGCCGCGUGAGUGAAGAAGGUUGUCGGAUCGUAAAGCUCUGUUGUUAAGGAAGCGGUACUUAACCAGAAAGGGACGGCUAACUCCGUGCCAGCAGCCGCGGUAAUUC
rnacentral:rRNA from 1 species